UUCUCUACAUAAUCAAAACAACAAAGUGCAUUGAAUAUUACCAAGAUUGCAUCAGGAUAAAUAUUUGAAAGCCGAAUUUGAUGGAAGGUCAGGUUCUCAAGAUGUCGGCAAGUUGUGGUUGAUGUGAUAAGGUGUGGGAUUAGCAACAGAUAAAGACUUAGAGUCACAGUACAAUUGGGAUUGGUUUCCACGACUUGAGCAUGCAGAUCUCUAUAAAUACUAAGCGGCAGAUCAUUCAAAAGGAUCUCCAAUUCAACACACAAAACUGCCCUGCGCAAACCCUCUCAACAACUUUGAGAUUUUUUUAUUUUCUCUUUUCGCUGACACGACUUCCGUUGGCAUCAACAGCACUGUGGAAGCAACCGGUGAUAUCUUAAGUCGGCAUAGAUAGCUCUAUCACCGUAGAAUCGAUCGGUCUUGCAGUAUCUUCCGUUGGCAUCAACAGCACUGCGGCGAGAACGGUUGAUUACCUAUCCAAGUCUCGGUCGAGAAGGGUUUCUGAACCCUUAUUGGUCGAGGUCAUCUCAUCAGCUUUCCCGGCGAAGUGAGGUGUUACAGUUAUUACAUUCGGCACAUUGAAAGCCGAAUUUGAUAUUGAACUUCGUAAGAAUAGUAACCUUGUCUUCAGGUUCGAGAGCCCAAGAGGCCGAGACGUGUUCCUUUCUCGGCCGCAAUCGCAAGACGCAGAAGUCAGUAGCGCGACUCAACGCAACAUUAACAAAUUUACUCCUCGGCCGAGCUCGGCCGACGAGUUGGCACGCCCCGCAUUCACCGAAGGACGUAGUUAGCUCAUUAAUUACUCGGCCUGCGCACCACGUAGGCUUUGUAGUUUCUAGGGUCAACAUUUUGGCACGCCCGGUGGAACCCAGUGCUAAUACUACGAAGUUCAUAUGAUAUAUCAAGAUUCCAAUCUGGCUCAACGUAGCCGAUUAUACGAGCUCCUGGAGGAAUUGAAAAAACAUAAUGAGGAAUGUAAAAAAUCUUUGGAAGCAGAAAAAGUUCUUCGUGGCCAUAAAGAGAUGCAAAAGUCAUUCGCUUGCAUGUUGAAAAUAAAAGCUCCUGUUAUCCUACAAGGGCAAUGGGUAAAUGAAGACAGGGCUCGAUUUAAUGCAUGGCUAGAUGAAGAAAAUUUUCCUUACGUUUCUGAUUACAGAUCAAUUCCAUUUGAAAAAUGGUUAGGCCCAAAGGCCGGGGGGCAAUUUUUCGCUCCGGCCGUAAUCAGACAUCGACCUAAGAAAAUUGUUAAUUUGGCCGAAGAACAAAAGCCACCUAUUUUUUCGGUCGAGACUGAAAGUGUGGUAGGCCUAGAAGAAAAAAUUCAAGUUCUUGAGCUAGAUACAAAAAUUGACUUGGAAAAUGAUUCGUCAGAGGAAUGCUCCAAUGACGAACGAGGCCAAGAUAUUGGCCUAGCCCAAGAAACUACGCCAAUUGAUAUGAUUAUUGGCAAUAAAGCCGAUAUGGAGAAAUCAUGUUCGGCUAAGUUGUUUGAAUUAAAAGCCGAAAUUAUGCCUGGGGGGCAUAAUAAUUGUUCCACACAUUCGGCGGCCGAAAAUACAAAAUAUUUUGCCGAGUCAAAAAUAUUUGGGCAAAUUUUUUUAUUCGGCGUUGGCAAAUCUCAAAGUGAAAUUUUUGAUGUAAAAAUAUCUCGGUUUGGAAUAAAACAUUGUUGGCCCCCUCCACUUUAUAGUUCGGCCACUUUUGUUUUCUUUUGUUAAAUAAAUAACUUAUUUUCUUAACCAUUCGGCUGCUCGGGGCUGAUACUUAAGAAAAUAAGGGGGCAACACAGAUAUAAUCGGCGGUUUAAAAUUUUUUUUUAAUCUUGCUGAGGAUGAGCAUACAUAAAGAGGCUGCUUCGUGAAUUUUGAUACUCGGUGCAGAAGAGAGAAAAAGUAGAAAUGAUUUUUGAUGCACUGACUGAAAAAAAAAAAAAAAAAAGGAGCAAUUCGGAAGGUUGGUUUUUCUUUUUGGGUUUUGUGCGCCUCAACUGAGACCACGUGCCUUUUCAUGCUUUUGACCUCAACUAACCUUAUAUGCAUAUAUAUAUAUAUAUAUAUAUAUAUAUAUAUAUAUAUAUAUAUAUAAAGUUAGCUUGCAUGACAAGUUGUUUUAGUGUAUUGUGUGCUGUCAUAGAUUGAUGUCGAGGCUGUUAAUUCUCCACGUUGCUCGGUCUGUUGGGUAUUCAGCACAGAGCCCAAUCAUCUAGUAUAUGGUUGCUUUUCUUCCUCGGCAAGUGGUUUACUCGGCAAGGUUGUAUUUAUAACAGCUUUCUGCUGAGUGAUUUUUUUUUUAUGUGGCAGUGGAUGCUCAUUUCUCUUCGACCAUAUAUUUCUUGACUGGUUAAUUUCCUUAACUAUUCGGCUUACGAGCCGAAGCUCAAGGAAACUGGGGGGCAAUGUUUGGACCCGAUUUUACAUCAUCGGUUCAAGUAAGCUAGGCCGUUGAGUAAGCAUAGCUCCACACCGUCAGAUAGAAAAGUUAGGAUAAUUUUGUUGUUAGGAUAAUAUUAUGAUUUUUAAUCAUAAUAAUUAUCUUUACUAAUGAAUUUGUUUGGGCCUAAAAUUACACAAUCGGCUCGACUGAUCGAAGCCGUUUAGCGUUACAGAUUUUCUUCCAUGCGAGAUGCAUAUGCGUGUGGGUGAGGGACUUUUCAUGCAAUUUGUGUAUACGUGGAGUGAUCAGCACAAAGAUAUGAAAAAGGAUCUGCAUGGAUGAGAAUCGAUCAAGUUGGAACUUGACCAAGCAAAAAGUUAGUGAUAAGUGCCAUCUAAAAGGAGAUAUAAUUUAAAAUGGAUAUGGUCUCUUGGGGCAUGCGAAAGAUAGAGAUGGUAAAGAAUAAAAUAAUAUUCUUUUAUUCUCUACAUAAUCAAAACAACAAAGUGCAUUGAAUAUUACCAAGAUUGCAUCAGGAUAAAUAUUUGAAAGCCGAAUUUGAUGGAAGGUCAGGUUCUCAAGAUGUCGGCAAGUUGUGGUUGAUGUGAUAAGGUGUGGGAUUAGCAACAGAUAAAGACUUAGAGUCACAGUACAAUUGGGAUUGGUUUCCACGACUUGAGCAUGCAGAUCUCUAUAAAUACUAAGCGGCAGAUCAUUCAAAAGGAUCUCCAAUUCAACACACAAAACUGCCCUACGCAAACCCUCUCAACAACUUUGAGAUUUUUUUAUUUUCUCUUUUCGCUGACACAUCUUCCGUUGGCAUCAACAGCACUGUGGAAGCAACCGGUGAUAUCUUAAGUCGGCAUAGAUAGCUCUGUCACCGUAGAAUCGAUCGGUCUUGCAGUAUCUUCCGUUGGCAUCAACAGCACUGCGGCGAGAACGGUUGAUUACCUAUCCAAGUCUCGGUCGAGAAGGGUUUCUGAACCCUUAUUGGUCGAGGUCAUCUCAUCAGCCUUCCCGGCGAAGUGAGGUGUUACAGUUAUUACAUUCGGCACAUUGAAAGCCGAAUUUGAUAUUGAACUUCGUAAGAAUAGUAACCUUGUCUUCAGGUUCGAGAGCCCAAGAGGCCGAGACAUGUUCCUUUCUCGGCCGCAAUCGCAAGACGCAGAAGUCAGUAGCGCGACUCAACGCAACAUCAACAAAUUUACUCCUCGACCGAGCUCGGCCGACGAGUUGGUACGCCCUGCAUUCACCGAAG
rnacentral:lncRNA from 1 species